GCCUUACACAUGCAAGUCGAACGGUAACAGGUCUUCGGGAUGCUGACGAGUGGCGAACGGGUGAGUAAUGUAUCGGAACGUGCCCAGUCGUGGGGGAUAACUGCUCGAAAGAGCAGCUAAUACCGCAUACGACCUGAGGGUGAAAGCGGGGGACCGUAAGGCCUCGCGCGAUUGGAGCGGCCGAUAUCAGAUUAGGUAGUUGGUGAGGUAAAGGCUCACCAAGCCGACGAUCUGUAGCUGGUCUGAGAGGACGACCAGCCACACUGGGACUGAGACACGGCCCAGACUCCUACGGGAGGCAGCAGUGGGGAAUUUUGGACAAUGGACGCAAGUCUGAUCCAGCCAUGCCGCGUGCGGUAAGAAGGCCUUCGGUUUGUAAUUUUCUUUUGUCAGGGAAGAAAAGGUUCCUUCUAAUAAAGGGGACUCAUGGCGGUACCUGAAGAAUAAGCACCGGGCUAACUACGUGCCAGCAGCCGCGGUAAUACGUAGGGUGCAAGCGUUAAUCGGCA
rnacentral:rRNA from 1 species